GACGAACGCUGGCGGCGUGCCUAAUACAUGCAAGUUGAGCGCUGAAGGUUGGUACUUGUACCAACUGGAUGAGCAGCGAACGGGUGAGUAACGCGUGGGGAAUCUGCCUUUGAGCGGGGGACAACAUUUGGAAACGAAUGCUAAUACCGCAUAAAAACUUUAAACACAAGUUUUAAGUUUGAAAGAUGCAAUUGCAUCACUCAAAGAUGAUCCCGCGUUGUAUUAGCUAGUUGGUGAGGUAAAGGCUCACCAAGGCGAUGAUACAUAGCCGACCUGAGAGGGUGAUCGGCCACAUUGGGACUGGGACACGGCCCAAACUCCUACGGGAGGCAGCAGUAGGGAAUCUUCGGCAAUAGACGAAAGUCUGACCGAGCAACGCCGCGUGAGUGAAGAAGGUUUUCGGAUCGUAAAACUCUGUUGGUAGAGAAGAACGUUGGUGAGAGUGGAAAGCUCAUCAAGUGACGGUAACUACCCAGAAAGGGACGGCUAACUACGUG
rnacentral:rRNA from 1 species